UACGGAGGGUGCGAGCGUUGUCCGGAAUCACUGGGCGUAAAGGGCGCGUAGGCGGCCUGAUAAGUAGGGGUGAAAUCCUGCGGCUUAACCGCAGGGCUGCCUUCUAAACUGUCAGGCUCGAGCACAGUGGAGGCAGGUGGAAUUCCCGGUGUAGCGGUGGAAUGCGUAGAGAUCGGGAAGAACAUCAGUGGCGAAGGCGGCCUGCUGGGCUGUUGCUGACGCUGAGGCGCGACAGCGUGGGAGCAAACG
rnacentral:rRNA from 1 species